rnacentral:ncRNA from 1 species
CGGACGGGACGGCCCGUUUGUUCAUGCGACACGGGGACGACCCCG